UUAAAUGAAUUGACGGGGACCCGCACAAGCAGCGGAGCGUGUGGUUUAAUUCGUUGCUACACGAAGAACCUUACCUGGGUUUGACAUAUAAGUUGUAGGGAACUGAAAGGGACCGACCCUUCGGGGAGCUUAUACAGGUGUUGCAUGGCUGUCGUCAGCUCGUGUCGUGAGAUGUUCGGUUAAGUCCGCUAACGAGCGCAACCCUCGCCGUAUGUUACAAGUGUCAUACGGGACUGCCGGUAAAAGCCGGAGGAAGGUGAGGAUGAUGUCAAGUCAGCAUGACCUUUAUAUCCAGGGCUACACACACGCUACAAUGGUCUGUACAAUUGGUUGCCAAGCCGCGAGGCGGAGCCAAUCCGUAAAGCAGGCCUCAGUUCAGAUUGCAGUCUGCAACUCGACUGCAUGGAGCCGGAGUUGCUAGUAACCGCAGGUCAGCAAUACUGCGGUGAAUACGUUCCCGGGUCUU
rnacentral:rRNA from 1 species